rnacentral:rRNA from 1 species
UACGUAGGGUGCGAGCGUUGUCCGGAAUUACUGGGCGUAAAGAGCUCGUAGGUGGUUUGUCGCGUUGUUCGUGAAAACUCUCAGCUUAACUAUGGGCGUGCGGGCGAUACGGGCAGACUGGAGUACUGCAGGGGAGACUGGAAUUCCUGGUGUAGCGGUGGAAUGCGCAGAUAUCAGGAGGAACACCGGUGGCGAAGGCGGGUCUCUGGGCUGACCUUGACGCUGAGGCGCGAAGGCGUGGGGAGCGAACGGG